GACGAACGCUGGCGGCGUGCUUAACACAUGCAAGUCGAACGAUGAACCGGGUGCUUGCACUUGGGGAUUAGUGGCGAACGGGUGAGUAACACGUGAGUAACCUGCCCUGGACUCUGGGAUAACCCCGAGAAAUCGGAGCUAAUACCGGAUAGGACCUUUCCUCGCAUGAGGUUUGGUGGAAAGUUUUUCGGUCUGGGAUGGACUCGCGGCCUAUCAGCUUGUUGGUGAGGUAAUGGCUCACCAAGGCGUCGACGGGUAGCCGGCCUGAGAGGGUGACCGGCCACACUGGGACUGAGACACGGCCCAGACUCCUACGGGAGGCAGCAGUGGGGAAUAUUGAACAAUGGGCGCAAGCCUGAUGCAGCAACGCCGCGUGCGGGAUGACGGCCUUCGGGUUGUAAACCGCUUUUAGUAGGGAAGAAGGGCUUCGGCUUGACGGUACCUGCAGAAAAAGGACCGGCUAACUACGUGCCAGCAGCCGCCGUAAGAC
rnacentral:rRNA from 1 species